rnacentral:lncRNA from 1 species
CUUUAUUGCACUGUUUUUGAAGAUGCUACAUUAACUUUUCCUGGAGCUACAUGAACAGAUGUCUGUAUUCCUUAAUGAAGUUCCAAUGUCAAGACAAGAAUAAUAGUUACAUCAAAGUAAAGGACUGAGGCUUCAUAAAAUUUUGCUCUUCUAGAACUAGAUGGUCCCUCCCUGUUGCUGAAGAAAGCACACAUACUUGGGACACAGAACAUAGAGACUUCAAGAUGGAAUUGUUUGGGUAGCAUUCACUCUACUGACUAGCUUUCACAGUAUCAGAAAAUGCUAUACAGGCUCCUGAGGAAGAAAGGUCAGCAAGAGUCUUAUGAAACUAUGAAUCAAACUAUGUACUCUGAGCAACAAUAAUGACAGCCUGUCUAGCUAUGACUAUCAGUGCUAUAGCAGGAUAAUAUAUGAAGGUAAACAACUACUUUCUGAUUGUAUGUAAGGCUCACUCUACAAGAUGGAACUCAUGACCAAUGCUGCAAAUCUGUUCAAGAACUAUUGGCUGAAAAGCUCAUAAACCCUAGGGAAAUAUAUUACUAUUAUUUUCAUGAAGGUAUAUAGUACCAAAC